rnacentral:rRNA from 1 species
UACGCAGGUGGCGAGCGUUGUCCGGAUUUACUGGGCGUAAAGGGAGCGUAGGCGGGCUUUUAAGUGAGAUGUGAAAUACUCGGGCUCAACUUGAGUGCUGCAUUUCAAACUGGAAGUCUAGAGUGCAGGAGAGGAGAAUGGAAUUCCUAGUGUAGCGGUGAAAUGCGUAGAGAUUAGGAAGAACACCAGUGGCGAAGGCGAUUCUCUGGACUGUAACUGACGCUGAGGCUCGAAAGCGUGGGGAGCAAACAGG